GUGUUUGUAGAAAGGAGAGAUGAUUGGCAUCUCCCCUGGCAAGGACGGGAACAGCUUUCGGGCUUUCCUUUAAGCAUAUAUAUUGUGGUUAAGGCUACUGCUUUGGCGGAGCUUUACCCCAACUUUUUU